rnacentral:rRNA from 1 species
GACGAACGCUGGCGGCGUGCCUAAUACAUGCAAGUUGAGCGCUUAAGGUUGGUACUUGUACCAACUGGAUGAGCAGCGCACGGGUGAGUAACGCGUGGGGAAUCUGCCUUUGAGCGGGGGACAACAUUUGGAAACGAAUGCUAAUACCGCAUAAAAACUUUAAACACAAGUUUUAAGUUUGAAAGAUGCAAUUGCAUCACUCAAAGAUGAUCCCGCGUUGUAUUAGCUAGUUGGUGAGGUAAAGGCUCACCAAGGCGAUGAUACAUAGCCGACCUGAGAGGGUGAUCGGCCACAUUGGGAAUGAGACACGGCCCAAACGGCUACGGGAGGCAGCAGUAGGGAAACGUCGGCAAUGGACGAAAGUCUGACCGAGAAACGCCGCGUGAGGGAAGAAGGGUGUCGGAUCGUAAAACUCUGUUGGUAGAGAAGAACGUUGGUGAGAGUGGAAAGCUCAUCAAGUGACGGUAACUACACAGAAAGGGACGGCUAACUACGUG